rnacentral:misc_RNA from 1 species
CGCACCUUGCGCCACGUGGUAUUCCACGGGGCACGCCUGUUUGAGUGUCACGUAAACCCAUCGCGUCGCGGAUUGUCAUGAUCUGCGGGGCGGAUUUGGACGCUGCCGUCGUUGGCUCGUCUCGAAAUGCAUUAGCUGUCUUACGACACGCGCCGUUGGUGUGAUAAUUUACUUUGCGCCGCUGGUGAGUGACUGUAGAAGGCUUACAACCGUCCGCAAGGACAAUUUUAUUAACGCUUUGGCCUCAAAUCAGGUGGGACUACCCGCUGAACUUAA